CUCAGUUUGCUUAAGCUUUUGACAAAGUUCUUCACAAAAUACUUUUCUCCAAACUUGAAUAUUAUGCCAUCGAAUGCAACACAUUAAAAUGGAUAGAAGAUUUUCUUACAUAUCCCGCACAGUCAAUAUGAUGGUGCACAAUCGGACCAAAUUAAUGUGGCAUCUACCAUUCUUUGGAUCAUAUCCUGUUCCUUGUGUACAUAAAUGACGUCCAUGAAUAUAUAAAACAAUGUACCCAAAGAUUAUUAGCAGAUGACAGCAUAAUUUACAAAACAAUAAGAAACAAAGAAGACACUCUAAAACUACAAGAUGACUUAAUAUCAGCAGUAAAAUGGGAGAAGGACUGGCUCAUGUCAUUCCAUCCAGACAAGUGAGCAGUCCAUCAGAUAACAACUUAGAAAACCGUAAUAAAAUUUGAUAACCCUCCCCACCAACAUAUACGACAAAACGAAAAAUCAACAAAAUAUCAUACAAACUUCAAAUGCUUACAGUUCAGUCACACAAAAGCUGAUUUUUAUGAAGAGUACAAAACAGAAGAAAAAAAUACUUUGAACUUUUGUACGAACAUAUUUCACUGUAAAUAGAAUUUAUAUAUCCAACACACGCGCGGCAUAGUGACAUCAACUAUAAUGAAGAAGACCUGAACAGAAAAAAAUAAAUACAAUGUUUAUCAAACAGAUAGUAUUACUCGUGUUUCUUUUUGGUGAGUUAGUAUUACUUUUAAAGUAACUAAUUAUCAAAAUUAUGGAAAUAUGAAUGGUAAAAAUGCGGAUAAGGAACACAUCUUAACAAAGGCAAGUGAAAAUAAAAUUAAAUUUAAAAAUGGUAAAGAACGUGUAUAGAAAGCAAGGUUGACAAGAGAAAGCCACUGCAUGUGUUGACAAUAUCAAAACUGUAAUUUAUUAUGGACAUUAAAAGUAAAACAAACCAGAGUGUUUGGUAGAAGUUUGGUUAGGCAUAGCAGAGUAAGAACAGGUAUAGGGAUACCUAUGAAGGUUGCAUCAGAAGGAAACAAUCCAAUCAAGAUACAGA
rnacentral:lncRNA from 1 species